GAUGAAGAACGUAGCGAAAUGCGAUAAGUAAUGUGAAUUGCAGAAUUCAGUGAAUCAUCGAAUCUUUGAACGCACAUUGCGCCCGCCAGUAUUCUGGCGGGCAUGUCUGUUCGAGCGUCAUUUCAACCAUCAAGCCCCCCGGCUUGUGUUGGGGACCUGCGGCUGCCGCAGGCCCUGAAAAGCAGUGGCGGGCUCGCUGUCACACCGAGCGUAGUAGCAUACAUCUCGCUCUGGGCGUGCUGCGGGUUCCGGCCGUUAAACCACCUUCAUAACCCAAGGUUGACCUCGGAUCAGGUAGGAAGACCCGCUGAACUUAAGCAUAUCAAUAAGCGGAGGA
rnacentral:misc_RNA from 1 species